UACGUAGGGGGGCAAGCGUUGUCCGGAUUUAUUGGGCGUAAAGAGCGUGUAGGCGGCCAGGUAGGUCUGGUGUGAAAACUCGAGGCUUAACCUUGAGAUGUCAUCGGAAACCAUUUGGCUAGAGUCCGGAAGAGGAAAGUGGAAUUCCUGGUGUAGCGGUGAAAUGCGCAGAUAUCAGGAAGAACACCAAUGGCGAAAGCAGCUUUCUGGGACGGUAACUGACGCUGGAGACGCGAAAGCG
rnacentral:rRNA from 1 species